GAGCUAGGAAAUGCUCAGAAGUACUCCAGUCUGGUCAUAGCAUAUGUCUGGAAAGUUUUGGAAGUUGUCAGAAAGUGCUUUUGCAGUAGCAGUGAAGGUGACCACCUGUAUCCUGGUCACACUCCCUACAAGGAAUCAGACCAGAGCUGGCCACAAUGACUUGAUGAGUUUUAACGAUUGUCUCAUUCAUAAAACAUGCUAUCAGGAAGCAUUGUCUUUCUCCUUUGUGUAAGCACCAUCAGUAUGUAAAGAAAAAAAAUCACAGAAUAAAAUGGUAAAAAAGUCA